rnacentral:misc_RNA from 1 species
AACGCACCUUGCGCCCUUUGGCUAUUCCGAAGGGCAUGCCUGUUUGAGUAUCAUGAACACCUCAACUCUCAUGGCUUGCCGUGAUGAGCUUGGACUUUGGGGGUCUUGCUGGCCUGCGGUCGGCUCCUCUCAAAUGAAUCAGCUUGCCGGUGUUUGGUGGGAUCACAGGUGUGAUAACUAUCUACGCUUGUGGUUUUCCACCAGGUAACCCUCAGCAAUGGAGGUUCGCCGGAGCUUAUAAAUGUCUCUCCCCAGCGAGGACAGAUUUUGACCGUUUGAUCUCAAAUCAGGUAGGACUACCCGCUGAACUUAA